rnacentral:tRNA from 1 species
GCCGGAGUAACUCAGAGGCAGAGUAACUCUUUCGUAAAGAGUAAGUCGCGAGUUCGAAUCACGCCUCCGGCU